UCAAUCCCCUCGGGUUUUUGACCUGAUUGGAUUGGACUUGGGUGUUGCCGUUUGGCUCGCCUCAAAAGACUUAGUGGAUCACCGGGUCAACAUGUUAGAUGUAAUAAGUUUCAUCUGGCUUGGCUUGGACGGUCUGCUCAGAACCCACCAUACACUUUUACUCUGACCUCAAAUCAGGUAGGGCUACCCGCUGAACUUAA
rnacentral:misc_RNA from 1 species